rnacentral:misc_RNA from 1 species
GAAAUGCGAUAAGUAAUGUGAAUUGCAGAAUUCAGUGAAUCAUCGAAUCUUUGAACGCACAUUGCUCCCCUUGGUAUUCCGAGGGGCAUGCCUGUUCGAGCGUCAUUACACCACUCAAGCUAUGCUUGGUAUUGGGUGCCGUCCUUAGUUGGGCGCGCCUUAAAGACCUCGGCGAGGCCUCACCGGCUUUAGGCGUAGUAGAAUUUAUUCGAACGUCUGUCAAAGGAGAGGACUUCUGCCGACUGAAACCUUUUAUUUUUCUAGGUUGACCUCGGAUCAGGUAGGGAUACCCGCUGAACUUAAGC